rnacentral:rRNA from 1 species
GACGAACGCUGGCGGCGUGCUUAACACAUGCAAGUCGAACGGAAAGGCCCUGCUUUUGUGGGGUGCUCGAGUGGCGAACGGGUGAGUAACACGUGAGUAACCUGCCCUUGACUUUGGGAUAACUUCAGGAAACUGGGGCUAAUACCGGAUAGGAGCUCCUGCUGCAUGGUGGGGGUUGGAAAGUUUCGGCGGUUGGGGAUGGACUCGCGGCUUAUCAGCUUGUUGGUGGGGUAGUGGCUUACCAAGGCUUUGACGGGUAGCCGGCCUGAGAGGGUGACCGGCCACAUUGGGACUGAGAUACGGCCCAGACUCCUACGGGAGGCGGCAGUGGGGAAUAUUGCACAAUGGGCGGAAGCCUGAUGCAGCAACGCCGCGUGCGGGAUGACGGCCUUCGGGUUGUAAACCGCUUUCGCCUGUGACGAAGCGUGAGUGACGGUAAUGGGUAAAGAAGCACCGGCUAACUACGUGCCAGCAGCCGCGGUGAUACGUAGGGUGCGAGCGUUGUCCGGAUUUAUUGGGCGUAAAGGGCUCGUAGGUGGUUGAUCGCGUCGGAAGUGUAAUCUUGGGGCUUAACCCUGAGCGUGCUUUCGAUACGGGUUGACUUGAGGAAGGUAGGGGAGAAUGGAAUUCCCGGUGGAGCGGUGGAAUGCGCAGAUAUCAGGAGGAACACCAGUGGCGAAGGCGGUUCUCUGGGCCUUUCCUGACGCUGAGGAGCGAAAGCGUGGGGAGCGAACAGGCUUAGAUACCCUGGUAGUCCACGCUGUAAACGGUGGGUACUAGGUGUGGGGUCCAUUCCACGGGUUCCGUGCCGUAGCUAACGCUUUAAGUACCCCGCCUGGGGAGUACGGCCGCAAGGCUAAAACUCAAAGGAAUUGACGGGGCCCCGCACAAGCGGCGGAGCAUGCGGAUUAAUUCGAUGCAACGCGUAGAACCUUACCUGGGUUUGACAUGGAUCGGGAGUGCUCAGAGAUGGGUGUGCCUCUUUUGGGGUCGGUUCACAGGUGGUGCAUGGCUGUCGUCAGCUCGUGUCGUGAGAUGUUGGGUUAAGUCCCGCAACGAGCGCAACCCUUGUUCACUGUUGCCAGCACGUUAUGGUGGGGACUCAGUGGAGACCGCCGGGGUCAACUCGGAGGAAGGUGGGGAUGACGUCAAGUCAUCAUGCCCCUUAUGUCCAGGGCUUCACGCAUGCUACAAUGGCUGGUACAGAGAGUGGCGAGCCUGUGAGGGUGAGCGAAUCUCGGAAAGCCGGUCUCAGUUCGGAUUGGGGUCUGCAACUCGACCUCAUGAAGUCGGAGUCGCUAGUAAUCGUAGAUCAGCAACGCUGCGGUGAAUACGUUCCCGGGGCU